GUGCCAGCAGCCGCGGUAAUACGUAGGGUGCAAGCGUUAUCCGGAAUUAUUGGGCGUAAAGAGCUCGUAGGCGGUUUGUCGCGUCUGCUGUGAAAACUGGGGGCUCAACCCCCAGCCUGCAGUGGGUACGGGCAGACUAGAGUGCGGUAGGGGAGAUUGGAAUUCCUGGUGUAGCGGUGGAAUGCGCAGAUAUCAGGAGGAACACCAAUGGCGAAGGCAGAUCUCUGGGCCGUUACUGACGCUGAGGAGCGAAAGCAUGGGGAGCGAACAGGAUUAGAUACCCUGGUAGUCCAUGCCGUAAACGUUGGGAACUAGAUGUAGGGACCAUUCCACGGUUUCUGUGUCGCAGCUAACGCAUUAAGUUCCCCGCCUGGGGAUGACGGCCGCAAGGUUAAAACUCAAAUGAAUUGACGG
rnacentral:rRNA from 1 species